ACUGUGAGAAGAGAGGAGCUCAACUGGUCAAAAUCAACAACAGGCGAGAGCAGGCAUUUCUCACUGGACUCACAGCAGCUGCGUGGAUUGGGAUGACCGACAAAGACAAGGAGGGCAUCUGGUUGUGGCUGGACAGGACAUGGGUCAAUAAAAAUGAGCUGCAGUGGGCUCCUGGACAGCCUGAUGACUCUAAUGGAGGUGAAGAUUGUGGCGACAUUCGAAAUCAAAAUAACUUUAUUGGUCUGAAUGAUUCCAACUGUUCAGUUUUGAUGCAGUGCAUUUGUGAGAAACCUCUGAAUGGGCUGUGAAUGAACCAAACAGGGCACAGAUUUGAAGUAGUAGUGUUUAUUUUUGUGUAUAUUCUACAUAGUAUAAAAUACACAGGGGGUGGUAGUCAAAAAUAUCUACUCAAGAAAGAAGAGUAGCCUAUUGUUACUAAUAUUACUCAUGUAGAUGUUGA